GACGAACGCUGGCGGCGUGCCUAAUACACGCAAGUCGAACGAACUCUGGUAUUGAUUGGUGCUUGCAUCAUGAUUUACAUUUGAGUGAGUGGCGAACUGGUGAGUAACACGUGGGAAACCUGCCCAGAAGCGGGGGAUAACACCUGGAAACAGAUGCUAAUACCGCAUAACAACUUGGACCGCAUGGUCCGAGCUUGAAAGAUGGCUUCGGCUAUCACUUUUGGAUGGUCCCGCGGCGUAUUAGCUAGAUGGUGGGGUAACGGCUCACCAUGGCAAUGAUACGUAGCCGACCUGAGAGGGUAAUCGGCCACAUUGGGACUGAGACACGGCCCAAACUCCUACGGGAGGCAGCAGUAGGGAAUCUUCCACAAUGGACGAAAGUCUGAUGGAGCAACGCCGCGUGAGUGAAGAAGGGUUUCGGCUCGUAAAACUCUGUUGUUAAAGAAGAACAUAUCUGAGAGUAACUGUUCAGGUAUUGACGGUAUUUAACCAGAAAGCCACGGCUAACUACGUGCCAGCAGCCGCGGUAAUACGUAGGUGGCAAGCGUUGUCCGGAUUUAUUGGGCGUAAAGCGAGCGCAGGCGGUUUUUUAAGUCUGAUGUGAAAGCCUUCGGCUCAACCGAAGAAGUGCAUCGGAAACUGGGAAACUUGAGUGCAGAAGAGGACAGUGGAACUCCAUGUGUAGCGGUGAAAUGCGUAGAUAUAUGGAAGAACACCAGUGGCGAAGGCGGCUGUCUGGUCUGUAACUGACGCUGAGGCUCGAAAGUAUGGGUAGCAAACAGGAUUAGAUACCCUGGUAGUCCAUACCGUAAACGAUGAAUGCUAAGUGUUGGAGGGUUUCCGCCCUUCAGUGCUGCAGCUAACGCAUUAAGCAUUCCGCCUGGGGAGUACGGCCGCAAGGCUGAAACUCAAAGGAAUUGACGGGGGCCCGCACAAGCGGUGGAGCAUGUGGUUUAAUUCGAAGCUACGCGAAGAACCUUACCAGGUCUUGACAUACUAUGCAAAUCUAAGAGAUUAGACGUUCCCUUCGGGGACAUGGAUACAGGUGGUGCAUGGUUGUCGUCAGCUCGUGUCGUGAGAUGUUGGGUUAAGUCCCGCAACGAGCGCAACCCUUAUUAUCAGUUGCCAGCAUUAAGUUGGGCACUCUGGUGAGACUGCCGGUGACAAACCGGAGGAAGGUGGGGACGACGUCAAAUCAUCAUGCCCCUUAUGACCUGGGCUACACACGUGCUACAAUGGAUGGUACAACGAGUUGCGAACUCGCGAGAGUAAGCUAAUCUCUUAAAGCCAUUCUCAGUUCGGGUUGUAGGCUGCAACUCGCCUACAUGAAGUCGGAAUCGCUAGUAAUCGCGGAUCAGCAUGCCGCGGUGAAUACGUUCCCGGGCCUUGUACACACCGCCCGUCACACCAUGAGAGUUUGUAACACCCAAAGUCGGUGGGGUAACCUUUUAGGAACCAGCCGCCUAAGGUGGGACAGAUGAUUAGGGUG
rnacentral:rRNA from 2 species